AACUAACUGACAUUUUAGUUCGUUAAGAUUCUGUUUUUCGCUGGAUAUAGCACAAGAAGAAUCGGUACUCAGCAGAGAAGAUGCAAGUUUCUCACAGAUAGAUAUUGAGUGGAGGAGAAUAAAGACGAAAAUCGGUCCGUCUGCUGAGCGGGCGAGCAUAUGGUAAGCACCAACUUGGACUUGCUCGAUCACAUUGCUGCCCAUAUGGCACGUCUCUGUUAUUCUGUUAUGUGGUUCUCGAGUUAAGUUCAAGUUAAACUACAUAUACAUAUGUAUAUGUUAUAUUCACCCAGACAAAACUAAAGACCAGAGCAAGAGUCGACUCAUCCUAACUUUUAUUCUGCUGUUGUUGUAUUUAUUGCAUGAUGCCAAAAAGAGAUGAGAGGGAUGGAUCCGAUAGGACAACGACCGGGCCCAACUUUUCGUUCCAGUGGAUCCUGUUUUGUUCCUAAGCCCGGCUAAAUUCACCGUAAGCCCUAACCCGACUACCACCUAUAUAUAUAUGGAACAUGUAUAAUAUAAUAUAAUAUAAAAUAUAAUAUACAAUAUUUAAGUAGGGCUCGACUGAAUUUAUAAUAAUAAUAAUUUUAAAUAUAUGGAGUAUGGGUAUAAGUACAUCCGGGGUGCCGGAGAAUAACUCACCGGAUAUUUUUAAACCCCAAGAUCAUAACCGGACUCUUGUCUAGUGCAUCAAUUUUACAUUAUGUUCAUUGGGAAUUCUUUAUUGGAAAAUUUCGAAUUCAGAGCGUAGUUCUUAGUUUAUGUGCUGGAGAUUUGGGUUAGUUGUUUGGGGGAGAAAGGCUGGGAAAUUUAAAUAGAUAAUUUUGGGUCUGUACGCAAAUUUUUUUGGAAUUUCUUGGUAUGCAAAUUUAUUAAGAAUUUUUUAGAAUGCAAAUGAAAGUAUAAAGAUAAAAGACUAGGAAAAUUUAUAGGAAAUUUGGGGAUCUUAAAAUAAGGAUAUGAGGGUUUUUAAAAAGAAGUUCA
rnacentral:lncRNA from 1 species